AUUGAACGCUGGCGGAAUGCUUUACACAUGCAAGUCGAACGGUAGAGGGGGCAACCCCUCGAGAGUGGCGAACGGGUGAGUAAUAUAUCGGAACGUGCCCAGUCGUGGGGGAUAACGUAGCGAAAGUUACGCUAAUACCGCAUACGAUCUAUGGAUGAAAGCGGGGGAUCGCAAGACCUCGCGCGAUUGGAGCGGCCGAUAUCAGAUUAGGUAGUUGGUGGGGUAAAAGGCUCACCAAGCCAACGAUCUGUAGCUGGUCUGAGAGGACGACCAGCCACACUGGAACUGAGACACGGUCCAGACUCCUACGGGAGGCAGCAGUGGGGAAUUUUGGACAAUGGACGCAAGUCUGAUCCAGCCAUUCCGCGUGCAGGAUGAAGGCCCUCGGGUUGUAAACUGCUUUUGUACGGAACGAAAAAGGGUUUCUCUUAAUACGAGGAGCUCAUGACGGUACCGUAAGAAUAAGCACCGGCUAACUACGUG
rnacentral:rRNA from 1 species